UACGUAGGGGGCAAGCGUUAUCCGGAAUUACUGGGUGUAAAGGGUGAGUAGGCGGCAAGAUAAGUCAUAUGUGAAAACUUUGUGCUUAACACAAAGACUGCAUAAGAAACUGUCAUGCUAGAGUACAGGAGAGGUAAGCGGAAUUCCUAGUGUAGCGGUGAAAUGCGUAGAUAUUAGGAGGAACACCAGUGGCGAAGGCGGCUUACUGGACUGAAACUGACGCUGAGUCACGAAAGCGUGGGGAGCAAACAGG
rnacentral:rRNA from 1 species